rnacentral:rRNA from 1 species
CCUACGGGAGGCAGCAGUGGGGAAUUUUGGACAAUGGGCGCAAGCCUGAUCCAGCAAUGCCGCGUGCAGGAUGAAGGCCUUCGGGUUGUAAACUGCUUUUGUACGGAACGAAACGGCCCUUUCUAAUACAAGGGGCUAAUGACGGUACCGUAAGAAUAAGCACCGGCUAACUACGUGCCAGCAGCCGCGGUAAUACGUAGGGUGCGAGCGUUAAUCGGAAUUACUGGGCGUAAAGCGUGCGCAGGCGGUUAUAUAAGACAGAUGUGAAAUCCCCGGGCUCAACCUGGGACCUGCAUUUGUGACUGUAUAGCUAGAGUACGGUAGAGGGGGAUGGAAUUCCGCGUGUAGCAGUGAAAUGCGUAGAUAUGCGGAGGAACACCGAUGGCGAAGGCAAUCCCCUGGACCUGUACUGACGCUCAUGCACGAAAGCGUGGGGAGCAAACAGGAUUAGAUACCCUGGUAGUCCACGCCCUAAACGAUAGUCAACUGGUUGUUGGGUCUUCACUGACUCAGUAACGAAGCUAACGCGUGAAGUUGACCGCCUGGGGAGUACGGCCGCAAGGUUGAAACUCAAAUGAAUUGACGG